UUAAUUGAAACCAAAAUAGAGGUUUGUCACUGUUAAUGACACCAAUGAGAUCUAAUCUCCAAUUAAA
rnacentral:tRNA from 2 species